AGUGAACGCUGGCGGUAGGCCUAACACAUGCAAGUCGAACGGCAGCACAGAGGAGCUUGCUCCUUGGGUGGCGAGUGGCGGACGGGUGAGGAAUACAUCGGAAUCUACUCUGUCGUGGGGGAUAACGUAGGGAAACUUACGCUAAUACCGCAUACGACCUACGGGUGAAAGCAGGGGACCUUCGGGCCUUGCGCGAUUGAAUGAGUCGAUGUCGGAGUAGCUAGUUGGCGGGGUAAAGGCCCACCAAGGCGACGAUCCGUAGCUGGUCUGAGAGGAUGAUCAGCCACACUGGAACUGAGACACGGUCCAGACUCCUACGGGAGGCAGCAGUGGGGAAUAUUGGACAAUGGGCGCAAGCCUGAUCCAGCCAUACCGCGUGGGUGAAGAAGGCCUUCGGGUUGUAAAGCCCUUUUGUUGGGAAAGAAAUCCAGCUGGCUAAUACCCGGUUGGGAUGACGGUACCCAAAGAAUAAGCACCGGCUAACUUCGUGCCAGCAGCCGCCGUAA
rnacentral:rRNA from 1 species